rnacentral:tRNA from 1 species
UUUAUUAAUCAAUGAGCUGAAUAAGCAUAU